rnacentral:rRNA from 1 species
UACGUAGGGUGCAAGCGUUAAUCGGAAUUACUGGGCGUAAAGCGUGCGCAGGCGGUUGUGCAAGACAGAUGUGAAAUCCCCGGGCUCAACCUGGGAACUGCAUUUGUGACUGCACGGCUGGAGUGCGGCAGGAGGGGGAUGGAAUUCCGCGUGUAGCAGUGAAAUGCGUAGAUAUGCGGAGGAACACCGAUGGCGAAGGCAAUCCCCUGGACCUGUACUGACGCUCAUGCACGAAAGCGUGGGGAGCAAACAGG